rnacentral:rRNA from 1 species
CUACGGGUUGCUGCAGUGAGGAAUUUUGCGCAAUGGGGGAAACCCUGACGCAGCAACGCCGCGUGAGUGAAGAAGGCCCUUGGGUCGUAAAGCUCUGUCAAUGGGGAAGAAGUUAUUUAAUGUUAAUAGCGUUAUUUAUUGACGGUACCCAUGAAGGAAGCACCGGCUAACUCCGUGCCAGCAGCCGCGGUAAUACGGGGGGUGCAAGCGUUAUUCGGAAUUAUUGGGCGUAAAGGGCACGCAGGCGGUCCUGUCAGUCAGAUGUGAAAGCCCGGGGCUCAACCCCGGACGUGCAUUUGAACAGCAGGACUUGAGUACGGGAGAGGAAAGGGGAAUUCCUGGUGUAGAGGUGAAAUUCGUAGAUAUCAGGAGGAACACCGGUGGCGAAGGCGCCUUUCUGGACCGAUACUGACGCUGAGGUGCGAAGGCGUGGGUAGCGAACGGGAUUAGAUACCCCUGUAGUC